UCGUGGAGCGAUUUGUCUGGUUAAUUCCGUUAACGAACGAGACCGUCGCCUAGUAAAUAGAGGGGGGCACUUGCGGGUGCCUUUUGUAUCACUCUUCUUACGGGGACUUUUUGCGAUUAGCAGGAGGAAGUUGGCGGCAAAAACA
rnacentral:rRNA from 1 species